ACGGAAGGCAGCAGUGAGGAAUAUUGGUCAAUGGGCGGAAGCCUGAACCAGCCAAGUCGCGUGAAGGAUGAAGGUAUUAUGUAUUGUAAACUUCUUUAGUCGUAGAGAAAUAAGGUGCUCGUGAGCACUGAUGCUAGUAUACGAAGAAUAAGGAUCGGCUAACUCCGUGCCAGCAGCCGCGGUAAUACGGAGGAUCCGAGCGUUAUCCGGAUUUAUUGGGUUUAAAGGGUGCGCAGGCGGCUUUUUAAGUCAGUGGUCGAAUCGUGGGGCUCAACCCCAUCCCGCCAUUGAUACUGGAGAGCUUGAUUGCGGUCGAGGUUGGCGGAAUUCGUCGUGUAGCGGUGAAAUGCAUAGAUAUGACGAAGAACACCGAUUGCGUAGGCAGCUGACCAGGCCGUAAAUGACGCUCAUGCACGAAAGUGCGGGGAUCGAACAGGAUUAGAUACCCUGGUA
rnacentral:rRNA from 1 species